rnacentral:rRNA from 1 species
UAUNGGGCAAUGGGCGCAAGCCUGACCCAGCNACGCCGCGUGAAGGAAGAAGUAUCUCGGUAUGUAAAGCUCUAUCAGCAGGGAAGAAAGAAAUGACGGUACCUGAGUAAGAAGCCCCGGCUAACUACGUGCCAGCAGCCGCGGUAAUACGUAGGGGGCAAGCGUUAUCCGGAAUUACUGGGUGUAAAGGGAGCGUAGACGGUGAUGUAAGUCUGGAGUGAAAGGCGGGGGCCCAACCCCCGGACUGCUCUGGAAACUAUGUGACUGGAGUGCAGGAGAGGUGAGCGGAAUUCCUAGUGUAGCGGUGGAAUGCGUAGAUAUUAGGAGGAACACCAGUGGCGAAGGCGGCUCACUGGACUGUAACUGACGUUGAGGCUCGAAAGCGUGGGGAGCAAACAGG